GUUCUCCUUUCUCCCUACUCGAGCUUCUGCUGCUUCACCAUGGAGCAAGUUAACCCCACCAAGAACUCCAGCCGUUAGAUACAUCAACGUGUUUCUCCUCGAAACAUCUUUGGAAUCAAGAACUUGAAGCUUCUGCGGUUCCUUAAUGUUUGCUUCAAGUAAAGGCUACCAAAAUUAGCAAAAGAUUCUUGAGACCUCUGCACAAACUAAGAACGCUAAUACAUCUGAUGUUGAAGUCAUGAUCAAAUGUU